GAUGAACGCUAGCUACAGGCUUAACACAUGCCAGUCGAGGGGAAACGACAUCGAAAGCUUGCUUUUGAUGGGCGUCGACCGGCGCACGGGUGAGUAACGCGUAUCCAACCUGCCCAUCACUUGGGAAUAACCUUGCGAAAGUAAUACUAAUACCCAAUGACAUCCCACGAAGACAUCUGAAUGGGAUUAAAGAUUUAUCUGUGAUGGAUGGGGAUGCGUCUGAUUAGCUUGUUGGCGGGGUAACGGCCCACCAAGGCAACGAUCAGUAGGGGUUCUGAGAGGAAGGUCCCCCACAUUGGAACCGCGACACGGUCCAAACUCCUACGGGAGGCAGCAGUGAGGAAGAUUGGGCAAUGGGCGAGAGCCUGAACCAGCCAAGUAGCGUGCAGGAUGACGGCCCUAUGGGUUGUAAACUGCUUUUAUAAGGGAAUAAAGUGGGUCUCGUGAGACUUUUUGCAUGUACCUUAUGAAUAAGGACCGGCUAAUUCCGUG
rnacentral:rRNA from 1 species